UGGCUCAGUUGGUAGAGCAUGGUGUUUGCAAUGCCAGGGUUGUGGGUUCGAUUCACAC
rnacentral:tRNA from 1 species